ensembl:lncRNA
UCCCAGAGUUUGAUCAAAUUCAUGUUGGUCGCUUCGAUGACACUGUCCAAUCCUGUGGCUCCCUGUUGUGACUCUAUCAUUCUCAAACUCCAGCCCUACUCCAGCCAUAUGCAAUGCUUUGUAAUCCGUUCCUUCUGCAUCCCCACCCCCCAUCCUGGCUCUCUCUUUGCAUUGCAAAUGUCUUACCAAAAGACCAGUUUUUUUGCUAGCAAUCCCUCUGCUUGGCAAACAAGCUCUUUCCCGCCUGGGGAGCGGCAGCAAAGGAUUCAGCAGCUCUUCAGCCUGUUGUUCUUGGCUGUGGUUAAAGGGGCAGCUUUCCCCACCCAGUGGGUGGGAGGGGAAGGGCUUAGGGAGUCAGGCGUCCUCUGUGAAAAGAGAGAGAAUUGAUCAUGCUUGCAGGAGGACUAUGUAGAUGAUGGUUAGUCUGCUGCUGUACGGAGACUUUUCUUUUGGGUUGGGAGGAGUGUGUGUCUUGGGCACCAGCUUCUGGAGAAUGGAGCCUCCAAAGUCUACUAAAAACACUACAAAAGCCAGCAGUGGUAGUAGCAGCAGCAGCAGCAGCACUGGUACCAGCGGGAAAGAUGGCGGCACAGAGAAUUCAGACGAGGUCGGGCAUUUAUUCUGUGAAGCAUUAAGUCCUUUUCUGAAUGAUGUAGAGUCCCUAGCAGACUGGCUUGGUUUUAAAUUCAAUCUGAAUAUUACACUUCUUGAAAGUGACUUUAAAGGGUGCAAUCCUGUAUACAUUUGCUGGAGUGUAAGUCCGAUUGAACACAAUGACAUUUGCUUCCAGGUCGACAACUGCAUAAGAUUCUACUGUGAAACACUUAGUUAAAGUUUCUAUCUUUGCGCAGGAAGGAACAGCAUCUUGCCUAUGUAUUGUUGCUUUCAAAAAGAACACACUCUGUGUGUUUGUGUGUGUUUCUGUAGGUGUGCGCACGUAUAGCAGGCAGGCGUACAGAUCCAGCUAGUGGGCUAAAAGAUGACAUGUGCUAUGGUUUAAAAUUGUCAGAAUCCCCAUUGCUAACAUUUGAAUUAGAUAACACAUGUAAGAUGGGUGACUGAAGACCAGAGAGGUCUGUAUCUGGUUCUAUAGACCAUAUUUCAAAUGUCCCUAAGGAAGCUCCGGUGUGGAUGAGGCAUUGAAAAAUCCCCAUGUUCUAGGGCUCUCCAGAGUUAUUUCAUGUCCUGCUUCUGGUGUAGUAAUUUGUUGCAAGUUUCAGGAAUUAAUUUUGGUGCUGGGAAUAGGGGUGGAAUUAGUAAAGGGAAGGUUUAAGUAAACAGGAGAAAUUAAAGUCUUGAAAAUACUGAAGUAAUGCGAGUCAUUCUAUUAUAUGCUUGUUUAGUAAGUAUGGUGUCUAAGAGACUAAAAUAUGAAAGUUGAGUCUCGCUUUGAUGGUGAAACUUUAAAGUGACUUCCAAGUAAGUUCCUCAGCUCCUAGAGCAUCACCCAUCCCCUAUUUGCAACUUGGAGAAAGUCAUACAGACCUAUUAUGCAGUGCUAAAUAUUAUAGUGAGCUAAUGUGCUGAAAUAUUCGGGAUGCUUUGAAACAGUAUGUAAAUGUUGCUGAUUAUUUAUGUGGUUUGUAUUAGGAGCAGUAAUUGCGAUUAUUUCCUAAGCUUCUUCACAUCAAAAGGUGAGGCGUCUUAAGUAAAUGGGACAGAGAUUAAGACCAAAACAUUGAGGGAAGUAAAUGGAGCAUGUAUGUAGCCUGCAAAGUUGAAGCCACCGAAAGCCCAUUGGCGCACAGUAUUAAUGGCAGAGGAAUCUAUGGGAGUGAUGUAUGUUUCAGUAGAGGGCAUUAAUGGAGUCGUCUGUGGCAUAGAAGAAUAAC